UAGGGAAUCUUCCGCAAUGGACGAAAGUCUGACGGAGCGACGCCGCGUGAGCGAAGAAGGUCUUCGGAUCGUAAAGCUCUGUUGUUAGGGAAGAAGAAGUGCCGUUCGAACAGGGCGGCACGGUGACGGUACCUAACGAGAAAGCCCCGGCUAACUACGUGCCAGCAGCCGCGGUAAUACGUAGGGGGCGAGCGUUUUCCGGAAUUAUUGGGCGUAAAGCGCGCGCAGGCGGUCCCUUAAGUCUGAUGUGAAAGCCCACGGCUUAACCGUGGAGGGUCAUUGGAAACUGGGGGACUUGAGUGCAGAAGAGGAGAGCGGAAUUCCACGUGUAGCGGUGAAAUGCGUAGAGAUGUGGAGGAACACCAGUGGCGAAGGCGGCUCUCUGGUCUGUAACUGACGCUGAGGCGCGAAAGCGUGGGGAGCAAACAGG
rnacentral:rRNA from 1 species